GAGUGGAUGUUCCGAAUGGUUAAGGGGCCUGUCUGUAAAAUAGGUGAUAUAUAUCGUUGUAGGUUCAAGUCCUGCUCCACUCA